GCCGGAUGGUUUUGGGCUGGGGAGGAGGAUCGAGGGGCUUUUAGCAGGUCGUUACAGCAGAAAUAUGGAGAAGGUACUUGACAGUGGUUUUGGUGGAAGCCUCUCCCUCCUCCUGUGCCCAGGGAGGUUGAUCCCUUCAGGGAACUGAAUCACGUCCCCCCAGCGCCGUGGGAGUGUCACAGAGCGUCUGAAGCUCGUCAGGAGAGUCAGGCCAGGCCGCGCGGGGCCGUUCUGGGAAGCCGUCCAGCCAUCCGCUGCAGAGAGGAGUCUGCCUAAAAAUGCCUCUGCUGGCUCCUCUCCACACUCCGACCGUCCCAUAUGGAACAAAUGUACAUUUUCCAUCAAUUGUUUGUAUUUUGCAUUUAAAGUAAGAAGGGGGAGGGAAAAAAAAAAAGCCAGCAAGCAAGCGGGCUACACAUAGAGGCGAAGCGUCGGUGACAGCAGAUAGGCCCCAUCGCAGAGAGGGAGAAACACUGGCCGGCGUUCAAGAGACUCAAACGUAUGGUAUGAAACAAUAAAUUUUAAGUGUGUUUUGACAUA